rnacentral:rRNA from 1 species
UUUGAUCCUGGCUCAGAUUGAACGCUGGCGGCAGGCCUAACACAUGCAAGUCGAGCGGAUGAAAGGAGCUUGCUCCUGGAUUCAGCGGCGGACGGGUGAGUAAUGCCUAGGAAUCUGCCUGGUAGUGGGGGACAACGUUUCGAAAGGAACGCUAAUACCGCAUACGUCCUACGGGAGAAAGCAGGGGACCUUCGGGCCUUGCGCUAUCAGAUGAGCCUAGGUCGGAUUAGCUAGUUGGUGAGGUAAUGGCUCACCAAGGCGACGAUCCGUAACUGGUCUGAGAGGAUGAUCAGUCACACUGGAACUGAGACACGGUCCAGACUCCUACGGGAGGCAGCAGUGGGGAAUAUUGGACAAUGGGCGAAAGCCUGAUCCAGCCAUGCCGCGUGUGUGAAGAAGGUCUUCGGAUUGUAAAGCACUUUAAGUUGGGAGGAAGGGCAGUAAAUUAAUACUUUGCAGUUUUGACGUUACCGACAGAAUAAGCACCGGCUAACUCUGUGCCAGCAGCCGCGGUAAUACAGAGGGUGCAAGCGUUAAUCGGAAUUACUGGGCGUAAAGCGCGCGUAGGUGGUUUGUUAAGUUGGAUGUGAAAUCCCCGGGCUCAACCUGGGAACUGCAUCCAAAACUGGCAAGCUAGAGUAUGGUAGAGGGUGGUGGAAUUUCCUGUGUAGCGGUGAAAUGCGUAGAAUAUAGGAAGGAACACCAGUGGCGAAGGCGACCNCNGGACNGA